GGGGAGAAGUUAUUGCGAUUAUG
rnacentral:miRNA from 1 species